GGGAUGACGGCCUUCGGGUUGUAAACCUCUUUUAGCAGGGAAGAAGCGUGAGUGACGGUACCUGCAGAAAAAGCGCCGGCUAACUACGUGCCAGCAGCCGCGGUAAUACGUAGGGCGCAAGCGUUAUCCGGAAUUAUUGGGCGUAAAGAGCUCGUAGGCGGUUUGUCGCGUCUGCUGUGAAAUCUGGGGGCUCAACCCCCAGCCUGCAGUGGGUACGGGCAGACUAGAGUGCGGUAGGGGAGAUUGGAAUUCCUGGUGUAGCGGUGGAAUGCGCAGAUAUCAGGAGGAACACCGAUGGCGAAGGCAGUUCUCUGGGCCGUAACUGACGCUGAGGAGCGAAAGCGUGGGGAGCGAACAGGAUUAGAUACCCUGGUAGUCCAAGGGCGAAUUC
rnacentral:rRNA from 1 species